GCGAGCGCUUAAAGCCUGUGAUAUGCAGAGUAUGCAAUCAGGGCUGCUUCCACGCCACCCGGGGAGGGGGGGGGGAGAAAGCCACCCUGCAAAUCAUACCCAUAGCAAAUCAACGUGCCUUUUCAGAUAGGAAAGGGAGAGUGUGGGAUAAAGAAGGAGGCACAGGAGAAGGAAGAGAGGGAGAGAAAGAAAGGCUGCCUGGCUUCGUGCGUGCGCGUGGUGGGGGAACUGCAAAAAGCCAGAAAUGGGGUGGGGGGUGGGGAAGUGCCAUACAAGCCUAGCACUGGCAUGCUUUUUAUUAUUAGAUUAUUUUACCACUCAAUACCCUUAUCUGCCUAACUGCACUCUUUAGCCAGCGCUUCGCAUUGUGUGUCCCCCCCCCUUCAGUCUCUCUCUCUUCUGAGGUUACUUCUAGCAGCGAUUCAAUGGCCACUAUGCAAGCCGAAGGAACUCAGGCAGUUGCAAAGGUUUAAAGGGGGGGGAGAGAGAGAGAGAGAGAGAGAGAGAGAGAGAGAGCAUGCAAAGUUGAUCUGCCAGCGGAAACUAGCCUGCUUUAAACAAAGUCCUCCGUCCAUGCCAGAAUCUUGUAUUCAAAGAGAUCUCUGUGUGCGUGUUUCCUUUUCUGUGUGAAACCACUACCUUUUAGCUGUUGUUGUCGAAAUUACUUUUCCAGGAGCAGAAGAUAGACCAACCCCAUUUGGCAUCGUUCUUCAUUAAGUGAUCGCUUCCAUCAGCCACGCUGUGUGAUGUUUUUGGAAGGGGGGGUGGAUGAGAGAGGGAAAUCUUUUUAGGUUUUGCUCUGAGGCUGCCAGGAGACUGGAAGGCAAAAUCACUAUCUUAAAAUAGUGGUGUAGAUUUGAAUGCACUGGGGUGUUGUUGUUGUUGCUGCUGCUGCUGCUGUUUUAAAUGGGCCAAUCCGUCCUGUUAUUGUGAACAUGUACAAUUUUACCUGUGUUUUGUGGAACCUGUGCUUAAAGUAUUCGCCCUGGUAAUGUCUUUUUUUACGGCUAUGUUAAUUACAGCAAAGUUAUUCAGCAAAUCGAGUGAAAUGGUGCCCCCUUUUUCCGUUCCCAAGGAUCAAAUGAACUUUUGAAAAUACACACAACACACUUUCUUCGUCUUUCUCCCUCGCUCCUUCUCUCUCACUCUCUCUCUCUCUCACACACACACACAUACACACGCUACCUAUCACGUUAGUGUGUAUGUGUUUGUGCAGCUUCCUCCAAUCACUUUGCUGGAACUAAAACAUGCCUUACCUCAGAGCAGUCAAUUACCAAAGCUACCCGAGAUCAUCAAUCAUGGGGAAUGCUUGAAGUUUAGGGGAGGAGCAAUGGUCAAACUAUUGAUUGCUGCAGUUUUGUACUCCCCCCUCCCCCCCUCUCUCUCUUUCAUGCUCCCUGAACAUAAAAUCUAAACCAGACAAUACUGUUAAUAGUGGGGUUUAUCAAUGUAUCUACUUGUGAAUGUGGCCUCGCACAUACAUAGCAUUGAAGGGGGGGGAGAACAACUCCCCCCAAAACAAUGACACCACUGCUUAAACUGGGAAGAGGGAGAGUCGGAGGGAGAUUCGGUUCUUCGUAACAGGGUCACAGUGAAGGAAAGUUGGGGAGGAAAGGGAGGGAAAAAAUUACCCAAGUGGGGGUGGGGUUGGCUCUAGAAAUUUGGCCAGAUUUUAAUGGGCGAUGGGAAUGUGCUCCAGAGGUCAAUAAAGCCCUCCAAAAUGAUGAAUGAUUGAGUACCUGUGAUGAUGAUAGUGAUUACCGGAGCAAUUAAACAGUUUGAUUAAAUGAGCCAUCAUAACAAUGAUGUCUGCGGGAAAUCAGCCCUCACAUAUAAAGAAAGAUAGCGUGGAGAGAGAGGCUGACAAACGCCACUGGGCAUGGCUUCGCUUUCCGAGAGCGCUCAGCCUGGCAAAGCGGGAGAGGCUGAACGCGCCGCUCCAGAGGCGAGCGAGGCGAGGAAAGGAUCGGCGAGACUUUAAGCCAGACUUGCGCGCUCUCUUCCAACACCCUCUGAAGCUGCGGAGCCAGAUCCAGGACGCUGCUUUUUCUCCCCCUUCUCUCUCUCUCUCCCCCCCCCCCGUUUCUUCCCUCCCCUCUUCCUUUCUCCCCUCUAGAGGACCUCUUCCAAGAUUAAAGCCGUCCUGAAGAGCAAGCGCUCUCCUCUGUGGCUGACUUGCCCGGGACUUUACUGAAAGGGUUGCCAUGAAGAUUCGGACACAAAGGUUGUUGAGCUUUAUUUGCAAGAUCGCGAAGAAAUUGCUUGCAGCCACAGCAUUCCGUAUAUGGACACACUUUGGAAUGCAUUUCCCCAUCACUUUCCUAACUGCAAAACAAAUUAAAAACAACAGUGAUCUUGUUACUACAGAGCAAUUUUAUCCAAUUUAAUUGCACAAACCUAAAUCUACAGUAUGUGAUAGAAUCCCUUCCACAAAAUGGCGACAGCUGGAGGCAUGUUCCAUAUGAAUAACAGCCCUACAGAAUGCAGUGAACAGGUAUGUCAGGUGCUGUAGCAUCAAUUGCUAGACUAGUGCUAACUAAUUUAAUUUAAUAAAUGAUGCUAUUAAAUUUUUAUCUUAAAGAUACUGAUUCCCCAGUGACUCGGAGAAGCGUGCCCUAAGUGGAUUCCCUACAGGGAAUUGAACUGCAUUCCUCAAGACGGAUUGCCUGUAGUGUUCACCCUUUUUUUUUUUACCCAAUGCCUAUUGAAAGUCUGCAAAAAAAGGAUCACAGUAGAACUUUCAGCCCAGCAGAUUUCAACACUAAUUUCAAUUUGAAGAUCCUGAAAAUUGCAGCGUGGGAUGCCAGCUCUUCAAUAUUUCUGUAAUUCCUAGCAUUUCUUAGAAACACAGUUAAUUUAACAAGCUUAAUUUGUUCUCAUAGCAUAUACAAUAAUUUCUAUUAAUGGCAAAUCAACAUGUUGAUCCAAAUGAAUGAAGACAGUUAAGGACACCGUUACACAUCAAUAUCAUGGCCACAACCAGACUCAAGUAAAAUCGUAUAAUGAAGCUGCAUGAGAGCGUUUGACUUCAUGUUGACCAAACAGAAGCCAAGAAUGAAUAUGCUUCCUUCCCUUGACUUUCCAUAUGAUACUGUGAGAGGCUUUGGAAAGUGAAGGCAGGCAAAGCCUUUACAAAGUGACAUUUCUGUUUCGCACUUUCAAGGAAUUCAUCCUUAACUGUGAUGUGACAGCACCUAUACUGUGGAACUCCCUGCCAACUGAUAUUUCACUGGCACCUUCAUUCUAAUGUUUUUGACAAUUGUUAAAACCUUUUUCAUUUAGGUAAGCCUACCUAGACAUGAAUAUUUGAUACAGUAUCUGCUUUAAUAUGAAAUUUUGUUUUGUUUUACUAAAACAAACAACUGCUCAUUUUACUUAUUUUUUGGGGGGUGGGGGAGGAAAUCAGAUUGUUUUUAACAUUUGAUUUUAUCAUUCUUUUAAAUGUAUAUUUUAUGUAAAUGGCUUAGAGGUUUGGAUGAUGAAGCUGUGUCUAAAUCUUGUUAAAUAUAACAAAUAAAAUAAAUUUGGAAGUAAUGCAGAAAUCCAAUGAAACUUUCCUCUUCAGAGAUGUUCUCAAUGCCUCAGUAUGUAAUCAGGAAGCCUCCUGCCAAUCCCUGGACCAGUUUUUGAAUGAUAACAAUAAAAGUUUCUGAUUUUUUUUUGUUUUUAAAAAUUAA